rnacentral:misc_RNA from 1 species
CCGAGUUUACAACUCCCAAACCCCUGUGAAAAAAAAAAAACAAAUACCACUUGUUGCCUCGGCGGAUCAGCCCGCUCCCGGUAAAACGGGACGGCCCGCCAGAGGACCCCUAAACUCUGUUUCUAUAUGUAACUUCUGAGUAAAACCAUAAAUAAAUCA